UUGUACGAUUCUCAGAUCGGAAUUCAAAAAGGCGAUUGUCACACUUCACAGCAAAGUUAAUUGCUUGACUCAAUGUUUGAGGAUCAGGUAAGUUGAGCAUUAAUUUUUUUACCUCAUAUUGUAAUCCGUAGAGAAAUUGGCUAAUAAGUGCAGCAUCAUCCUACUUGAUAUCAGUUGCAAGUUGUCAAAAUUGUGAAGCAU
rnacentral:lncRNA from 1 species